GUAAGAAAACAUAAAGACUAAAGUAAAGUUGUAAAUCUAAACUACAGUUCAAGUUAUACAAGGCAUGCAAACCUUCUCUUGAAACGUCAAACGCGUACUUCGAUAUGCAAUAUAAAGAAACAUAACCCGCGAGAAAAGCUAUAUAGUACAUACCUCACAGAUCCCUCGCCACAAUCUUUGUCAAUAUGCGCAACGAAAUCGGCAAUUUUCGCGCCGCCACUCAAACACCGUUUCUCUCGUUUUGGGUAAUUGAAUCAAAUCCAGAUCAUCCAUGUUUACAGCGAAGCAACACGUGAGACCGCCAAAAGUGCUUUCCACCCCCUCGCAUAACUGACAUCGGCCGUCCGUGGAUCCAACGGAAGGAUUUUGAACGUUGGAGAAUGCGUGACGCUGAUUGGCUAUUGGGCUCGGGGUCGAUGGUGGAAGGGGACGCCGGGUCGCGACGAGCCUCGCAGUACCGCUUCGACUGUGAACGCGGCAGGAACUGUUUCGUUUAUAUUACAAAGCUCCUUUAUCGUUCAGAACGAUUACAUUCGAAUGUUUUUUCAAGCGCUAACCACGUAAUCGACGUUUGGUAAGCGAUUAGUAACCGCGAAUCCGUGUCGAUUCGUGGAUGUUUCUCGAGCUGUUUCGUGCGUGUACGUGACAUUAAGUGGCACGCAAACAGGUGCACCUAUUCGCAUAGCGCAAGAAACGAAUCACGGAGGUCGUUGCACGUAAUAUCCACCGACAGACGGGACAAUUCGGGUGCACGAUCUAUGUCUAUGACUGUGCAGUAGCGGAUACUCUUCUCGACCACUUGUCUGUCACCAACCGCCACUAUUGUCUCGCGAAGACCGAGCUGUAAAUCUUCGUUGCUUAUACUGUUUUCUUGAAACGACGUUGCGACACGAUCUUUCAGCGUUAGUGAUAGUUCAUUCGGUAAGGAAAAUCGCAAUUAAAUUUCAUAAUAUUUUCAUCGGUACGUAGAACGUUCUCCGGUAAAACAUCAAGAUUGUUCAAUUUUGCCAUUUGCAGCGUUUUUUUCGCGCAAGUACCCUUCAAGUAAAUUCAUUAAUUUACCGCAGAGAUUAUUCGCGUGUUCUCGUUCUUUGAAAGAAUUGCAAAUUAAGCGUCUAACGCAAUUUUGCGUGGUACAUAUUUAUGCGUAACUGUGAUACGAAUUCAGAGGUUCGAUAAGAAAAAAGAAAAUGAAAAAAUAAUGUGUAUUCUGUGCAACCACGGAGAAAGGAAUAUCCGUUGAACAACCAGUUUGUGAAAUAUCGGCUGAAUUUUUUACCGAAUAACUUGCUGAAAAUAACGCCGAUUGUUUUAGAAUUAAUAAAAUUCGUAUUCCAUGCAGAGAUAUUAAACCGAUAGAAAUGCAGAUUUUAUCUUGACGUUUUCCAUUAUUUUCAAAGCAACUUUCUCAACAAUUGUAGCCUGACCUUUUAUGGUACACAGUUUAACCUUUAUACGGUAACGCACUAUCGUAUAGCGUAUUUCGUGUCGUAUAAGAAGCAACAGAGAAUAGAUUUGCUGUUCGAAAACAAUGAAAGAGAUUUAAUAAAAACAGUUUUAUUAUCGUGCAGGUACGAGACUUUUAUCUUGGAAACUAUUUCACGAAGAUAUUUACCAUGGUGUACAAAACGGUAGAAAAUUCAGCAGAUAAUUUUCGCGAAAAGAAAUAUAUCACGUAGAAACGUAUGAUCGAGAAAUAUAUAGAUUAAUUAUCGUUUGUUCUAAUAAACAAUUAAUAAUUCAA